rnacentral:rRNA from 1 species
UACGAAGGGGGCUAGCGUUGUUCGGAAUUACUGGGCGUAAAGCGCGUGUAGGCGGUUUCCCAAGUCGGGUGUGAAAGCCUUGAGCUCAACUCAAGAAAUGCACUCGGUACUGGGUGACUAGAGGACCGGAGAGGAUAGUGGAAUUCCCAGUGUAGUGGUGAAAUACGUAGAGAUUGGGAAGAACACCAGUGGCGAAGGCGGCUAUCUGGACGGUUUCUGACGCUAAGACGCGAAAGCGUGGGGAGCAAACAGG